rnacentral:ncRNA from 1 species
AGGGAAGCCGGUGGAAAUCCGGCGCGGCCCCGCCGCUGUAACCGGAAACGAAACCGCAUUCAGCCAUCGCCCCGAACGGCGAGAAGGCGCGGGA